rnacentral:lncRNA from 1 species
GUGCAGCGCCAGCCUGCAAGGGCUGCAGCCACCUGGACUCCCACCUGAGAGAACUGUGGUGUGAAAAAAAACAAAAAUCUCCAGCAGCGUCCUGAGGGUGGGCUGCCAGGAAUCUUGAGGGCCAAUCUCUGCUCAAGUAUGUCUGGGAGGUGAGAUAUGGAGUCAAAGAAGAGGAUUCUCUAGACUUAAGAUGGAAUGUUUGCCCUGUUAUGUUUUGGGCUUGUUACUUCUCUUAUUUUUGUUUCGAGUUCUCUGCCAUGUGAGGACACUGUCUCUUCACUCUGGAGAAUGCAGCAUUCAAUGUUCCCCCUUGGAAGUAGAGACUUGACCCCCACCAGAAGCCUGAAGCUGCUGACAUGUUGAUUUUGGACUUCCCUGUCUCCAGAACUGUGAGAAAUGCAUUUCCGUUCUUUGUAAAUUACCCAGUUUCAGGUAUUUUGUUACAGCAGCACAGACAGACUAAGACAGUCACUAAUUAUGGCAAACUCUAAAAGGCAGCACAUAAUGACAAUGUUAUGGACAAAAUGUUCCCCUUCAAAUUCAUAUGCUGAAGCCCUAACCCCCAAUAAGGUGAUAUUAGGAAGUGGGGUCUUUGGGGGUGAUUGGAUUUAGAUGAAGUGAUGGGUGGGCCCAUGAUGGGAUUAGAUGUUCUUGUGAGAAGAGGCAAGAGAGACCAGAGUUCACUCAUUUUUUGUCUUCAUCUCUCUCUCUCUUUUUCUCUCACUCCCCCUUUCCCCGAAACAGAGAGAAGGUGACCAUUUGCAAGUCAGGAAGAAGGCCUUCACCAGAACCCAACCAUGCUGGCACUCUGAUCUCAGACUCCAGUCUCUGGAAAUGUGAGAAAAUAAAUGUCUGUUAUUUUAGAUGCUUAGUCUAUGGUAUUCUGUCAUUGCAGCCCCAGUUGAACAAGAUAG